GCCGUGGUAGCUCAAUUGGUAAGAGCAUCGCACGUGUAAUGCGAAAACGUGGGGUUCAUAUCCCACUUGCGGCA